CUUGACCGAGCCGAGCCAGAGCGGCGCCUGCCCGUCGCGGUCCUGGCCGUACGUGGCCAGCAGCGCCUGCGCCUC
rnacentral:antisense_RNA from 1 species